rnacentral:rRNA from 1 species
UUUAUUGGAGAGUUUGAUCCUGGCUCAGGAUGAACGCUGGCGGCGUGCCUAAUACAUGCAAGUCGAGCGAAUGGAUUAAGAGCUUGCUCUUAUGAAGUUAGCGGCGGACGGGUGAGUAACACGUGGGUAACCUGCCCAUAAGACUGGGAUAACUCCGGGAAACCGGGGCUAAUACCGGAUAACAUUUUGAACUGCAUGGUUCGAAAUUGAAAGGCGGCUUCGGCUG